rnacentral:rRNA from 1 species
AGUGAACGCUGGCGGUAGGCCUAACACAUGCAAGUCGAACGGCAGCACAGUAAGAGCUUGCUCUUACGGGUGGCGAGUGGCGGACGGGUGAGGAAUACAUCGGAAUCUACUUUUUCGUGGGGGAUAACGUAGGGAAACUUACGCUAAUACCGCAUACGACCUACGGGUGAAAGCAGGGGAUCUUCGGACCUUGCGCGAUUGAAUGAGCCGAUGUCGGAUUAGCUAGUUGGCGGGGUAAAGGCCCACCAAGGCGACGAUCCGUAGCUGGUCUGAGAGGAUGAGAAGCGACACUGGAAAUGAGACACGGUCCAGACUCCUACGGGAGGCAGAAGUGGGGAAAAUAGGACAAUGGGCGCAAGACUGAGCCAGACACACCGCGUGGGGGAAGAAGGCCUUCGGGUUGUAAAGAGCUUUUGUUGGGAAAGAAAAGCAGAAGGUUAAAACACCGCUGUGCUGACGGUACACAAAGAAUAAGAACAGGCUAAAUUCGUG